rnacentral:rRNA from 1 species
AUUGAACGCUGGCGGCAGGCCUAACACAUGCAAGUCGAGCGGCAGCGGGAAAGUAGCUUGCUACUUUUGCCGGCGAGCGGCGGACGGGUGAGUAAUGCCUGGGAAAUUGCCCAGUCGAGGGGGAUAACAGUUGGAAACGACUGCUAAUACCGCAUACGCCCUACGGGGGAAAGCAGGGGCCCUUCGGGCCUUGCGCGAUUGGAUAUGCCCAGGUGGGAUUAGCUAGUUGGUGAGGUAAUGGCUCACCAAGGCGACGAUCCCUAGCUGGUCUGAGAGGAUGAUCAGCCACACUGGAACUGAGACACGGUCCAGACUCCUACGGGAGGCAGCAGUGGGGAAUAUUGCACAAUGGGGGAAACCCUGAUGCAGCCAUGCCGCGUGUGUGAAGAAGGCCUUCGGGUUGUAAAGCACUUUCAGCGAGGAGGAAAGGUUGAUGCCUAAUACGUAUCAACUGUGACGUUACUCGCAGAAGAAGCACCGGCUAACUCCGUGCCAGCCGCCGCAGUAAAAC